GUUUUCUAACUCUUGUUCUCAAGCCCACUUCAACGCCUGCAGCAAAGCUAGGGUUUCGGCAUGGAGGGCCGAUCGGACCUGCGCUGCACUCCCGGAACCGUCGAUCAGCUUCCCGGAGGAGUCCCUGCACACCCAAGAGACAGCGCCGGUACUCUCACUCGCCGAGAACGAGCCAUCAACGUUUAUUUUGAGCGUCCCCGAGCGCGGCGGGAUCCAUGACUCUGGGCACACGCUUCAGUAACUACUUUUCUCGGAUCUGGGAUUUUCCGUCUGAAGACAAAUUCAUUCCGCGCCUUCCAGAUUUGCCACAUAAUCGUCGUGAUUAAUUGCAGAUCUGACCAUACUGCUUUUGUCCACGGGCAGAGGAGGAUCAGGUGCUCGAUGGUUUCGCUGUUUAGCCGGCAGAAGGGGCAAGAGGAAUCAGGUACUAUUUUCCGUUUAAGUAGAUUUUUCUUUGGUAGGCAAUGCAUUUUGACAGACAUUCCAUAGGAACAUUUUCAGCUUUGGUGAGCUGUUUGGAUUCCAUAUUAUAUUCCAAAGUUCUGUUGGGGUUUGGUAGGAGGAGGAUGGUUGCUGUAUGCGUGCUGUGGGUUCUGUCUGUCUGAGGACAUUGUAGCCAUUUUUCACUGAGUAUUGACCCGAUUUGGUUC